CUGCAGCCAGUGAAGCCCUUUGUGCUCUUUCCCCGUGGGGGCCGGUGUGCCACGGCUGCCAACCGUAACCUCCUUGGCAGGGUAUGAAGUCUGUUGCUUAUAGGGCUUGCCCUAAGGGGCCUUGGAGACAGAU
ensembl:snoRNA SNORA70 Small nucleolar RNA SNORA70